rnacentral:rRNA from 1 species
UACGUAGGGUGCAAGCGUUAAUCGGAAUUACUGGGCGUAAAGCGCACGUAGGCGGAUCGUUAAGUCGGGGGUGAAAUCCUGGAGCUCAACUCCAGAACUGCCUUCGAUACUGGCGAUCUUGAGUCCGGAAGAGGUGAGUGGAACUCCUAGUGUAGAGGUGGAAUUCGUAGAUAUUAGGAAGAACACCAGUGGCGAAGGCGGCUCACUGGUCCGGUACUGACGCUGAGGUGCGAAAGCGUGGGGAGCAAACAGG